rnacentral:rRNA from 1 species
UAUUAUUUUUGAUGUUAAUUAUUUAACCUGAGUAGUAAUAGAUAUGUUCUUGAAACUUAAAGAAUUUGGCAGUAUUUUAUUCUAUUUAGAGGAACCUGUUCUUUUAUCGAUAAUCCUCGUUGGACCUUACUUAAUUUAUUGAUUUGUAUACCGCCGUUGUAUUGAGGGUCUUUAUAGUGUUUUUAAUUUUCUUAAUUUUAUUUAAAAUUAUUUCAGGUCAAGGUGCAAUUUAUGGUUAAGUAGAAAUGGGUUACGUUUAUAUUUAUUUUUGGAUUAUUAAAUGAAAUUUUAAUAUGAAAUUGGAUUUAAAUGUAAUUAUUAUUUUAGAUUGUAUUAAUGAUUUAGUUUCUAGAGUGUGUACACAUCGCCCGUCACUCUCGUUAUUUAUUCGAG